CGGGGGGGCAAGCGUUGUUCGGAAUUACUGGGCGUAAAGGGUUCGUAGGUGGCCGACUAAGUCGGACGUGAAAUCCCUCAGCUUAACUGGGGAACUGCGUCCGAUACUGGAUGGCUUGAGUGCAGGAGAGGAACGCGGAAUUCCAGGUGUAGCGGUGAAAUGCGUAGAUAUCUGGAGGAACACCGGUGGCGAAGGCGGCGUUCUGGACUGCAACUGACACUGAGGAACGAAAGCCCGGGGAGCAAACGGGAUUAGAUACCCCGGUAGUCCUGGCCCUAAACGAUGAAUGCUUGGUGUGGCGGGUAUCGAUCCCUGCCGUGCCGAAGUUAACGCGAUAAGCAUUCCGCCUGGGGAGUACGGUCGCAAGGCUG
rnacentral:rRNA from 1 species